rnacentral:rRNA from 1 species
CGUGGGGUAGGGGAGCGUUCUGUAAGCCGUUGAAGGUGGUCUGUAAGGGCUGCUGGAGGUAUCAGAAGUGCGAAUGCUGACAUGAGUAACGAUAAAGGGAGUGAAAAACUCCCUCGCCGGAAGACCAAGGGUUCCUGUCCAACGUUAAUCGGGGCAGGGUAAGUCGACCCCUAAGGCGAGGCCGAAAGGCGUAGUCGAUGGGAAACGGGUUAAUAUUCCCGUACUUCUUACAAUUGCGAUGGGGGGACGGAGAAGGCUAGGUGGGCCUGGCGACGGUUGUCCAGGUUCAAGUACGUAGGCGGAAGAAUUAGGUAAAUCCGGUUCUUCAUUAACGCUGAGAUACGAUGUCGAGCUACUACGGUAGUGAAGUCAUUGAUGCCAUGCUUCCAGGAAAAGCCUCUAAGCUUCAGAUUGUAAGGAAUCGUACCCCAAACCGACACAGGUGGUCGGGUAGAGAAUACCAAGGCGCUUGAGAGAACUCGGGUGAAGGAACUAGGCAAAAUGGUACCGUAACUUCGGGAGAAGGUACGCUCUUAUCAGUGAAGUCCCUUGCGGAUGGAGCAGACGAGAGUCGCAGAUACCAGGUGGCUGCAACUGUUUAUUAAAAACACAGCACUGUGCAAAAUCGUAAGAUGACGUAUACGGUGUGACGCCUGCCCGGUGCCGGAAGGUUAAUUGAUGGGGUUAGACUUCGGUCGAAGCUCUUGAUCGAAGCCCCGGUAAACGGCGGCCGUAACUAUAACGGUCCUAAGGUAGCGAAAUUCCUUGUCGGGUAAGUUCCGACCUGCACGAAUGGCGUAAUGAUGGCCACGCUGUCUCCACCCGAGACUCAGUGAAAUUGAAAUCGCUGUGAAGAUGCAGUGUACCCGCGGCUAGACGGAAAGACCCCGUGAACCUUUACUACAGCUUGGCACUGAACAUUGAACCUACAUGUGUAGGAUAGGUGGGAGACUUUGAAACCGCGUCGCUAGAUGUGGUGGAGUCGUCCUUGAAAUACCACCCUUGUAGUUUUGAUGUUCUAACGUUGGUCCCUGAAUCGGGAUUACGGACAGUGCCUGGUGGGUAGUUUGACUGGGGCGGUCUCCUCCCAAAGAGUAACGGAGGAGCACGAAGGUGGGCUAAACACGGUUGGACAUCGUGUGGUUAGUGCAAUGGCAUAAGCCCGCUUGACUGCGAGAAUGACAAUUCGAGCAGGUGCGAAAGCAGGUCAUAGUGAUCCGGUGGUUCUGAAUGGAAGGGCCAUCGCUCAACGGAUAAAAGGUACUCCGGGGAUAACAGGCUGAUACCGCCCAAGAGUUCAUAUCGACGGCGGUGUUUGGCACCUCGAUGUCGGCUCAUCACAUCCUGGGGCUGAAGUCGGUCCCAAGGGUAUGGCUGUUCGCCAUUUAAAGUGGUACGCGAGCUGGGUUUAGAACGUCGUGAGACAGUUCGGUCCCUAUCUGCCGUGGGCGUUGGAAAAUUGAAGGGGGCUGCUCCUAGUACGAGAGGACCGGAGUGGACGAACCUCUGGUGUUCGGGUUGUCAUGCCAAUGGCAUUGCCCGGUAGCUAAGUUCGGAAUCGAUAACCGCUGAAAGCAUCUAAGCGGGAAGCGAGCCCUGAGAUGAGUUUUCCCUGACGCUUUAAGCGUCCUAAAGGGUUGUUCAAGACUAGAACGUUGAUAGGCAGGGUGUGUAAG